UACGUAGGGGGCGAGCGUUGUCCGGAUUUAUUGGGCGUAAAGAGCGUGUAGGCGGCCAGGUAGGUCUGCUGUGAAAACUCGAGGCUCAACUUCGAGCUGUCGGUGGAAACUUUCUGGCUAGAGUCCGGAAGAGGAGAAUGGAAUUCCUGGUGUAGCGGUGAAAUGCGCAGAUAUCAGGAAGAACACCCGUGGCGAAGGCGGUUCUCUGGGACGGUACUGACGCUGAGACGCGAAAGCGUGGGGAGCGAACAGG
rnacentral:rRNA from 1 species